rnacentral:tRNA from 1 species
AGCGAAAAUAGCUCAGUUGGUAGAGCGCAACCUUCCCAAGGUUGAGGUCGCGGGUUCGAGACCCGUUUUUCGCUCUUU